GGUCGCAGGUUUCUUUUCCAUUCCAAUUUCAGUCUCCCUCCCACCUCUUUUCCCCAAUUUCAAUCUCCCUCCAACACCUCCAAAACCCUAAAAUCUCAAACUCACUCACUCACCAAUCUCAAUUUUUGCUCAAUCGCUCAAUUUUUGCUCAGUCGCUCAGUCGCCGUUCACCAACUAAGUCGCUCAGUUGCUCAGUCGCCGUUCACCAACUCAGUCGCUCCUCACUCCUUCCUCCUUCCUUUUCCUCGUUAUGGCUUCACACGCUCUCGCUCUCACACUCCCAACCUAGCCUACACACUCGAUUUAGAUUCUUGUCACUUCCAAACCUAGCUUCUCACAAUCGGUCCAAUAGUUCCAAUCGGUGCUACAAUUGCUCAGAUUCCAACUCACUCAGUCCACAAUCCAUCAGCAUUGAUUUUAUUGCUCUAAAAGGCUCAGUAAAAGAAGCAUUUCACGCUAUUGGUUUUUUAAGUCUGCUGCUAUUUAUGUAAGUCCUUUUUGCCUCAUGUUUUUUUGAACUUUAACUAAUAAGUUUGCACAUUUUUCUGAUUGGUUAUUGCUGGAACGAUUAUUCAUUGUGUUGUAAAUCAUGGAAAUAUAGAUUAUGUCUUGUAGGAUAUAUAUCUGAUUUGCUUCUGUUUUGUGCUUUUUGUUUCUAAAAUAUAAUGACACCAUGCAUGCACCUUCACUGUUCAUCAUCUUCUUGCCGUUCGCUGCUUCCAUCACUGCUUCCAUCACACUAAUCGCUCGCUCUCACUCUCUUCCUUCAAGAUUUAUCCAAUUGACUGUUUAGGCAAGCAGACAGGGAUGUCUGGACGAGACAAAGAUAAGGGUAAGGCUCAUGUUGUAGAUCAUGGGAAGCCGAAGAAAAAGAAGAAUGGAUGAAUAGAUGUUUCCUCAGACCCUACCAGACAGUGGGUUCGACCGACGGGGAUUACCUUCCGUAACAUUGAUGAACGGACUGGUACUCCUAUUCCUACUGCUACUACUCCACCUCCUUACCCCACUCCAUUCCCGACUAUUCCUCCCGCACCAUUCCCGCCUAAUCCUCCCGCACCAUUCCCGCCUAUUCUUCCCGCAUCAUUUCCAGCAGCUACUACUAGUCAGGCUACUACUAGCCAGCCCCCUUCCGCACCAUUCCCGCCUAUUCUUCCCGCAUUAUUUCCAGCAGCUACUACUAGUCAUGCUACUACUAGCCAGCCCCCCAUAUAUUCUAAUCCUGGUUUUGCCAUGCCUGGAUUUACUCUGCCAUCCACACACUCGCCAAACUACAACACCACCCGGUCUAAUGUCCGACAAGGCUUUAACACAUCUGUUCCAUCACAAUCAUCAAAGGCUUUAACAACAACAAAACAACCAAAAUGAAAAGGUACCGUCUGGGGGUGAUCAACAACGCCGACAACGGCGUCAAAUCAUUGAAGACUGGGAGUAUGUGGAUAACCUUAUUGUGUUUACACCAACACCUGAAACGUUAGAGCCAUCCCACGGAGUAUCAGAACAUAUUAGAAUGGCGAUCCAGACGUUUUACCCUAAAUAUAGGCGUUGGGCCGUAUAUACAGAUCUUACUACCGAUGACAGGAACAACCAUUUUAAAUACUUUUCGGAUUUUUGUAGAUGGGAACCUCAUCAUCACACUCUUGUAUAGAGAAACUUUCAUAGGGUAGCUGCAAGACGUUUAUCAGAUUUAUUAUAUGAUGAACGGAAGGAAUUGAAAAACCGUAAGGGCAAUUAUCGUACAGAAUGGAUCGGAGAGAAAAGUUGGGAGUUAUUGCUGAAGUAUUGGAAUGAAGAUCCACAUUUUAAGAACCGGUCCAGAGCUAACAAGCUGAACAGAGCAUCUAUUGUAGGAGGACAGUUGCACGCACAAGGCUCUCGAAAUAGAUUGGGUAGAGAUCCUUAUCCAGAAGAGAUAGUUGAUGAAACUCGUUUCAUUCAGAAUCUUGGUCGGUAUGUCGAUGCUCGAGCUAGCAAUACCCAGGCAGCUUAUCGCACGGAAGCAGCGGAGUUUUUGGAGGAGAAUCUUGAGAUUCCAUCAUAUCCAAAAAUUCCCUUCCCCAUUAAACUUCAAUUAUGGGAAAAGGCUAUAGAAAAAGGAAGACCGGAUGGAGGAAAAGGAAGAAAGGGUAGAAUGUACGGUCUUGGGCCGUUAGCCGGCAAUGUGGUACAUGGAGAUUUGUUCUAUGUUCCUCCUCCACCAGAUUCAUCAUCUCGUUCUAGAGAGCUGCCUCUUGAGAUGCAAGCAAUGAUAUAACGAAUGAACCAGAAGUUGCAAUCUCAAAAUUAAAGGAGGCAUUGGCAAAGAAAGAAGAAUCGGAGAAUGAGUUAAGGGAAUUACUGGCCAAACAGGCCGAGGAAAUGAGAAAACUCAAAAGGAUGGUUGCAAAAAGGAUGGGUGGCAUGAAGAGUAGGAAAACAUCGGAAUCAUCGUCGCGAUCGAGUCAAUCAUCACCGUCGGUUCAAGAAGAUCGAACACAUGACGACGACAAUGAUGAUGAUGAUGAUGAGGACGAGGAUGAGGACGAGGACGAGGACGAGGAGAGGGAUGAUGAUCAUAACGAGUA